GACGAACGCUGGCGGCGUGCCUAACACAUGCAAGUCGAGCGAGUGAAUCUUCUUCGGGAGUGAAGCUAGCGGCGGACGGGUGAGUAACACGUGGGCAACCUGCCUCAUAGAGGGGAAUAGCCUUCCGAAAGGAAGAUUAAUACCGUAUAAGAUUGUAGCUUCGCAUGAAGUAGCAAUUAAAGGAGCAAUCCGCUAUGAGAUGGGCCCGCGGCGCAUUAGCUAGUUGGUGAGGUAACGGCUCACCAAGGCGACGAUGCGUAGCCGACCUGAGAGGGUGAUCGGCCACAUUGGGACUGAGACACGGCCCAGACUCCUACGGGAGGCAGCAGUGGGGAAUAUUGCACAAUGGGGGAAACCCUGAUGCAGCAACGCCGCGUGAGUGAUGACGGCCUUCGGGUUGUAAAGCUCUGUCUUCAGGGACGAUAAUGACGGUACCUGAGGAGGAAGCCACGGCUAACUACGUGCCAGCAGCCGCAGUAACAC
rnacentral:rRNA from 1 species